AAAUAAACACACAUAUAUAUAAGCACACCUAUCACCAGAUACCCUCCGCGAAGUAAUACCUAACGGUGGUCCCGCGGAGGAGCAUGGUAGAAGAAGUGUGUGGGAGGGGGGUAGUUUUUAGUACGUAAGCGUCAUGGAUGGCGAAUCGUGCAUGCUGCUACAAAGAACCAGCAGUAUCUUCCGAAGAUUUUCUACCUCCUGCACGC
rfam:Glossina austeni unplaced genomic scaffold Scaffold331, whole genome shotgun sequence.